AUACGUAGGUGGCAAGCGUUGUCCGGAAUUAUUGGGCGUAAAGCGCAUGUAGGCGGUUUGGUAAGUCGGUCGUGAAAAUGCGGUGCUUAACGCCGUAUGGCGAUUGAAACUGCUGAACUUGAGUGCCGGAGAGGAAAGGGGAACUCCCAGUGUAGCGGUGAAAUGCGUAGAUAUUGGGAAGAACAUCGGUGGCGAAGGCGCCUUUCUGGACUGUGUCUGACGCUCAGAUGCGAAAGCCAGGGUAGCGAACGGGAUUAGAUGCCCCGGUAGUCCUGGCCGUAAACGAUGGGUACUAGGUGUGGGAGGUAUCGACUCCUUCCGUGCCGGAGUUAACGCAAUAAGUACCCCGCCUGGGGAGUACGGCCGCAAGGCUUAAACUCAAAUGAAUUGACGGGG
rnacentral:rRNA from 1 species